rnacentral:rRNA from 1 species
GUCGUAACAAGGUCUCCGUUGGUGAACCAGCGGAGGGAUCAUUACCGAGUUAUCCAACUCCCAACCCCUGUGAAUUAUACCUUUAAUUGUUGCUUCGGCGGGACUUCGCGCCCGCCGGGGACCCAAACCUUAUGAAUUUUUUAAUAAGUAUCUUCUGAGUGGUUAAAAAAUGAAUCAAAACUUUCAACAACGGAUCUCUUGGUUCUGGCAUCGAUGAAGAACGCAGCGAAAUGCGAUAAGUAAUGUGAAUUGCAGAAUUCAGUGAAUCAUCGAAUCUUUGAACGCACAUUGCGCCCGUCAGUAUUCUGGCGGGCAUGCCUGUUCGAGCGUCAUUACGCCCCUCAAGUCCCCUGUGGACUUGGUGUUGGGGAUCGGCGAGGCUGGUUUUCCAGCACAGCCGUCCCUUAAAUUAAUUGGCGGUCUCGCCGUGGCCCUCCUCUGCGCAGUAGUAAAACACUCGCAACAGGAGCCCGGCGCGGUCCACUGCCGUAAAACCCCCCAACUUUUUAUAGUGACCUCGAAUCAGGUAGGACUACCCGCUGAACUUAAGCAUAUCA